rnacentral:rRNA from 1 species
UACGUAGGGGGCGAGCGUUAUCCGGAAUUAUUGGGCGUAAGGAGUGCGUAGGUGGUUAAUUAAGCGAGAGGUUUAAGGCUACAGCUUAACUGUAGUUCGCCUCUCGAACUGAAUAACUUGAGUGCAGGAGGGGAAAGCGGAAUUCCUAGUGUAGCGGCGAAAUGCGUAGAUAUUAGGAGGAACACCAGUGGCGAAGGCGGCUUUCUGGACUGAAACUGACACUGAGGCACGAAAGCGUGGGGAGCAAACA